GAUAUUUUGAAAAUUUUACUUUGCCAUGGUAUUUUGACCCCCCUGCGGUAUAUUGAACCCCUCACUCUAGACCUUUAAUUUAAAAAGUUCUGGCAUUUCUAACUUUUUAAUGUAGUUAGAAUACACAAAUAAGUAGUUUGUAUGUAUUAAACUUGCUGGAAAAGUUAUUUUGAAAAUUUUACUUUGCCAUGGUAUUUUGACCCCCCUGCGGUAUAUUGAACCCCCUACUCAAGGCCUUUAAUUUCAGAAAUUCUGGCAAUUCAAACUCUUUUAUGUAGUUAGAAUACACAAAUAAGUAGUUUGUAUGUAUUUAACUUGCUGGAAAAGAUAUUUUGAAAAUUUUACUUUGCCAUGGUAUUUUGACCCCCCUGCGGUAUAUUGAACCCCCUUACUCUAG
rnacentral:lncRNA from 1 species